GUAGGUGAACCUGCGGAAGGAUCAUUAUCGAGAGGGGUCUCCGGACUCCGGGGGCUUCGGCCCCCUACUCUUCACCCUAUGUUUACACACCUUUGUUGCUUUGGCGGGCCUCGGGUUUGACCCGUACCGGCCGUGGGCUUCCAUACCCCGGCCGUCCGUGCCCGUCAGAGGCCCAUGAACCCUCGUUUAUCAGUGUCGUCCGAGUAAAGCCACAAUAGUAAAAAACUUUCAACAACGGAUCUCUUGGUUCUG
rnacentral:misc_RNA from 1 species